CACUGCCCCUAGUGGGGAGGAGAGGAUGGAUGAGAAGAGCACAAGGAACAUCUGUCCUGGUCUACAUGGCUGAAGACUGACCAGGGAGGGCAAGAGGUCACUACAUCGGUCAGAGGCAAGAAAGGAUCCCAAGCAGAAAGGCCUGCUGGCAUUGUGGAGCUGGAAAUCCCUGGGAGGAAUUCACCACCCCUAAAAACCUGCUGAGGAACCCAUGGAGAGGUUGGGUUAACAGCUCUGGGUGCCAGCACAGAGUGGAGAAUGCCUGGCCCCCACCCCAGCUGCCUUCAGGUAGACCGGAAGCAGCACUGCGGUUGGAAUAUGGCCAGUCAAGACCAAUGUGUGGGCUACCCAUGAAGCUAGAGCCAAAAUUUUGCAGAGAACUGUCAGUAACCCAGAGCCCUAAACUCAUCCUGUGUGUGAUGUGAGAGUCACUCCAAAUCAGCAUACCGGCACCAUUCAGGCGGCCAGGUCAUGGGUAGUCUUGCAAAGGCAGUAACGCAGAGACCAGUGAGGCAAUCUGUGCUCCAGGUCACUCUCCUGGAUGAAAAAUCCAGCCACGAACAACUAAAGAGACCCCCUAGAUGAGAUACCUGGAAAUGUGGCAACCAUCAUUCAUUCACAAGACAAGCAGCUUAAGAUAAAGCCAAAAAGCCAAGGGUGGGAGAGCAGAAACAGCCUACGUCCUUUAGAUGUCAUGGAGCGUUGUAGCUUGGGGCUGCCAGCAUCCAGACUGUUCAUGUCAGGAAAUUUUGAGGAACUCUAACUGAUUCACCUUGGUUCAUGUGAUCACCUGUAGACCAAUCAGCUGUGAUAAGAACUGUGGAGUCUUGUGAGAACUUGCCCAUGCCUGCCAGAGACACACGGGUGAGGCAGUGGGGGAAAAAAGAAGCAGGAAUAAGCCCUGAAGGCCCCCAGAAUGACUGUCUAGUCAGUUCCCUUGUCAACAAUCCAAAACAUUGUCACAUAUGCUCCAAGGACUGUUCUGGCACAAAAAUAAGCAGGAGCUCAAUGAACAUUUGUACAACAAAUGAAUCUUGCUGUGGGGACAUCACAUUAAGGAAGAACAUUUAGAACGUCAUUACAUUCUAUUGAUUUCAAAUUCAAUGAAAGUUCAAAGAAGAGAAAAAUGAACAUGAACUGGAACGUGUAUUGAAGGAGUUAUGGAUGUUACAAGGCUUGGGUUGGAAACAGGAAA